rnacentral:tRNA from 2 species
GGAGGGAUGGCAGAGCGGUUGAAUGCACCGGUCUUGAAAACCGGCAUACGUUAAUAGCGUAUCCAGGGUUCGAAUCCCUGUCCCUCCGCCA